rnacentral:rRNA from 1 species
UGCCAGACUCCUACGGGAGGCAGCAGUGGGGAAUAUUGGGCAAUGGGCGCAAGCCUGACCCAGCAACGCCGCGUGAAGGAAGAAGGCUUUCGGGUUGUAAACUUCUUUUAAGAGGGAAGAGUAGAAGACGGUACCUCUUGAAUAAGCCACGGCUAACUACGUGCCAGCAGCCGCGGUAAUACGUAGGGAGCGAGCGUUAUCCGGAUUUACUGGGUGUAAAGGGCGUGUAGGCGGGAUGGCAAGUCAGGCGUGAAAACUAUGGGCUCAACCCAUAGCCUGCGUUUGAAACUGUCGUUCUUGAGUGAUGGAGAGGCAAGCGGAAUUCCGUGUGUAGCGGUGAAAUGCGUAGAUAUUAGGAGGAACACCAGUGGCGAAGGCGGCUUUCUGGACUGUAACUGACGUUGAGGCACGAAAGUGUGGGGAGCAAACAGGAUUAGAUACCCUAGUA